CCUACGGGAGGCAGCAGUGAGGAAUAUUGGUCAAUGGACGAGAGUCUGAACCAGCCAAGUAGCGUGAAGGAUGACUGCCCUAUGGGUUGUAAACUUCUUUUAUAUGGGAAUAAAACGUUCCACGUGUGGGAUUUUGUAUGUACCAUAUGAAUAAGGAUCGGCUAACUCCGUGCCAGCAGCCGCGGUAAUACGGAGGGUCCGAGCGUUAUCCGGAUUUAUUGGGUUUAAAGGGAGCGUAGGUGGAUUGUUAAGUCAGUUGUGAAAGUUUGCGGCUCAACCGUAAAAUUGCAGUUGAAACUGGCAGUCUUGAGUACAGUAGAGGUAGGCGGAAUUCGUGGUGUAGCGGUGAAAUGCUUAGAUAUCACGAAGAACUCCGAUUGCGAAGGCAGUUCACUGGACUGCAACUGACACUGAGGCUCGAAAGUGUGGGUAUCAAACAGGAUUAGAUACCCGUGUAGUC
rnacentral:rRNA from 1 species